rnacentral:lncRNA from 1 species
GGGGUGAACCUCACUUAAAAAAAAUUAAAAAAAAAUAUGUGGAGUCCACUCCUAAAUGGGUGGACGUGAACGUGCCACGGGUGCGUACCCGUUUGAACACUUCUCAAUAACUUAUACAUCGACAGACCCCAAGCUUGUGCCAUCAGAUCACAGUGUCCGCAGUACUUGCAGUAGAAGUAGAAGUGCUUGGAUGGGCAGGGCUCACCUUGUAUUGUGGUACAUUGGGUCGGAGUUAUAUUUGGGUCGACAGGGGACCCGGUAACACCCCCUGAAGGACAAGGUUCAUGCUGCACCAAUAAUGAAAAAUGUGAUUGGUUCUUGUUUCCUAUCAUGACAAGGAAAAAUAUAGAGAAAAUUAUAACAUAUUUGUAAGGGUAUUUAUUCUAGAAAAAAAUUAUAGUAAGUAAUUACUGUCUAAAAGGUUAAUUUUGAGUAACUGCCAACCUAAGAUAAACUAAAACUAUUAGUUUUUCAAAGCAGAAAAUGAUAAAUUAUCAAUAUAAUUUUUAUAUCGAGAAAUAAUCAACGUCUAAAUUAUCGUAUGAAUAAUGUUAUCACUGCAUAUAACAAAUAAAAAAUUAUCAAUAAAUUUCUAAAGGAGAAAAUGAGAUGUUAUUAAUUAAAAACGAGAAUUUUUCAAUAUUUACUCUACAGUAAAUCAGAUAAAUUCUAUAUUUUAUUUAGUGUCAAUUGGACAUAAAUAUACUCAAUUAUAAUUUGGACAAAAAUAUUAAGAAAUAGAAAAUCAAAACUCCAACUGCUAAACAAGAGAAGUUUUUAAUAUUUAGUUUGUGCAAAUUGAGAAAAUAUCACAUAUAAUAUAAUUAAUUCACAACUACUAAAAAAUAACUCAACUUCUAAUUGACUAGAGGAUUUUUGUGAGUGCAACUGUGGAUUGGAUUUUAUGCGUAUGUAAAUUACAAUAUUUGGGGUGGAGCCCAAAAUUAUUUUUUGCUUAUCAAUAAAUUUUUUUUAUCGAACAAAUAUUUUUUUGAAUAUUGAUAAUUUGAUAAUUUUUGCUUGUGCAUUAUUUUCAUGUAGAAAAAAUAAAAAAACAGAUUAUCAAUCAAUAAUAUAUUUUUACUAGUGGUUGAAAUUAAUAUUGAUAACUAGAAGAGUAUUUUAAAUAGAGUCCUUGAAUAUUAUACUUUUUAUAAUAUAAAUUAAGAAAGUGGUUUUAUAAGUUUAUAAGUUGGUAUAUUUGGAUUGAAGCAAAAAAAACUAAAAGUAUAUUUCAAAAUUGAAUUUAGUGUCAACAUCAAACAAUGUCUAAUUAUUAUUGUUUUUUUUUAAAUUUGAUAUUCAGCACAAGGACGUACUUAUUCGGGAUUAAUCCCAUCAUCCACUAGUGAAAACUCGAUUAAAUCCAGAACAAUUUUUAGGUGACUCAACUCAAUAAUUAAUAACACUUAGGAUGUUUUGAAUUUGAAACCUUUAAAAUUGGCAGACCUGCAAGUCUCAAGAUUAGGUCCCAAGUCAAUCCUAAAGUUAAACAAGGUCCAAUUAUAAUCAACCACCUGGUCACUGUCAACCUAAACUUCAGAAUUCGUAUCAUUUUCAUGAGAAAAAAAAAAAAAAACCAUAAAAGUGGAGAGCGAUAACAAAAAAUAUAAAAAUAAAAAUAAAAAAUACACGGCAGAGUUGUAAUGAAAAGGGAUAAUUGUAGCAGGUCCUUGACAGAGGACUAAAAUUCAUUUAAGUUCUAAGUGUUUCAUUUCUCUAAAAAAGUAAUGAUUAUAUAUCUAUAUCUAUACUCUUAUAUUAAAGAAAAAAUGAUUGAUGAUGGAUGCCGAUGGUGAUGAUGCUAGAGCCGGUAAUGAUGAUGACGCAGUUUUACUGCCGUAUCGGUGAAGAUGGUGACAACACAAUGGUAAAAGCGACGUCAAUAAUUCUAAUCAAUUCUCAAAAGAUUCUUGAAAUUUUUUUUUUGGAUUAUUUUAAUAAAUUCUUAUAUCGUGUGUAUUUAUUGUGUAACUCGCAAAAUAAUAAAUUUAUCAAAAAAGUAUAAAUUAAAAUAUAUAUUAAUAGCAAAAUAUGUGAGAGUGAUUGGAAAACAUAGUGAAUAUAAAAAAAAAUAUUAUUUAUAAUAUAUUAUUUUUUUAAUUAAAAAACAAAGUUUUUUUUUUAUUCAAAACAAUCUAACCUACAGGACCUAAAUAAAAUUUUUAAAUGAGUCAAAAUUUAUUUGAUUAAAAGCUUAACUCACGUAGAGAUCUCAAAAGUUCCUUAGUUCUUAGCAAUAUUACAGGGGCUUGAGGCCCAGUCCAGCCUGAACCGGGGCCUAGGACACCGGGAUCCAUUGGGUAGGGCAUAGCCCAUGUUUGUUGAAGCUCAUAUCAAAAUAAAAUAAGAACUAAAAAAAAAGGAAAUUAAAACAUAAAAAAAUAUUAAAGGUAAAAAAAUUAAAUCCUUUAAUUUUAAUUUUACAAAUCGAACUUUAAAAUUUUAAUUCGGUCACAAUUAAAGGCAUUCAUUAGUCUUCGUUCAUCUUGAGUUAACG